AUGAACGCUGGCGGCGUGCCUCAUCCCUGCAAGUCGAGCGCACAGACGAGGAGCUUGCUCCUCUGACGUUCGCGGCGGACGGGUGAGUAACACGUGGAUAACCUACCUAUAAGACUGGGAUAACUUCGGGAAACCGGAGCUAAUACCGGAUAAUAUAUUGAACCGCCUGGUUCAAUAGUGAAAGACGGUUUUGCUGUCACUUAUAGAUGGAUCCGCGCCGCAUUAGCUAGUUGGUAAGGUAACGGCUUACCAAGGCAACGAUGCGUAGCCGACCUGAGAGGGUGAUCGGCCACACUGGAACUGAGACACGGUCCAGACUCCUACGGGAGGCAGCAGUAGGGAAUCUUCCGCAAUGGGCGAAAGCCUGACGGAGCAACGCCGCGGGAGUGAUGAAGGUCUUCGGAUCGUAAAACUCUGUUAUUAGGGAAGAACAAAUGUGUAAGUAACUAUGCACGUCUUGACGGUACCUAAUCAGAAAGCCACGGCUAACUACGUG
rnacentral:rRNA from 1 species